UCUCAGCAAAAUUUCAGGAAGCUCCAUUUCACUCUAACUGAAGUUGCCCUGAUGUGUUUGUUACUGUGGGCAUACAUGUUUCUGUUUUCAUAGCAGCUGAGGAAGACACCUCUUGGGGAAACUGCCAUGGCUUUUGACUUCUAACCUACCAAUCCAUUAGAUUCCUAAAGAAGAUUAAAGAGAUGAUAAAGAUUGAUUUGGGGGGGAAAAAAGAGAAAAAUUUCAUUGUAAGGGUUGACUUCUACAGUAUUCACAUCACAGGGGAGUAUCAGCUUAGAUGUCUGUUGUGCCAUGACGCUUGCGCCAAAGGGCAGGGGUUAUUUGUACUCUGUAGGUGUCGUGUGUUGAAGCCUCAGAGUGAUGCCCUCAAGAAGCAAUCAUGGGAUUAAACUCACCUCCAUGCAUAUUCUGAGAGCUACAAAUGCACAGUAUGAAGGCAGAAAGCAUCUAUCUUUUCUUCUGCAAGCCUGAGAAGACUCUUUUCUAAUGCCUCCAAAAUAUCUCAGCAGUACAAUACUUCAAAGUCAUCUUUUCUUGCCUCAAAUGACUCAGCAAAGGAGAAUUUUAUCAUUUUAUUAAAAAAUGGAUAGCAAAGGGGAUUGUAAAUAUAGAUAAAACUGAUGCAAAAAAGCUAAAUGGGAUCACAAUAGACUGAAGGCAAGAGAAGAAAUUGAUCAGAGGGUUCGGUGUUAUAGUCACGAUCUUGAAAUCCCUCAGAGAUGGCACUUGCACUGGGAGAAACAGCUAUGAUGUCUUGAGCAGUCCCCUGGAGAGAGCCAAGUGGUGAAUUGCAACCUCCUGCCAGCACUGGGCACCAUCUAGGCAGCCAUGGGUGUAAGCUGUAUUGGAAGUGACUCUUCCAGGAAUUCACCAGUGUAGCAGAUUGGAUUCUCUGCAACAACUGCUGAGAUGGAAUUUGAGGAUGAAAGAUGGUUAUUAUGAAUUAACAUCUGUGGAGGGAGACACAGACAGGAUUCAACUCAACUCCAAGUUACUGUGGAGCAAGCAAUGCCCAUUAGGUUUCAGUUGUUUUCAACAGAAGGGCGGGUCCAAGACCAACUCCUCCAUCAGGACCAGAAGAGUUUAAAAAUUUUGGAAGUACAAAAGGCAGCAAGAAACCCAGACCACAGCUUGGAAUGUUUGGCUGUAGACCCUUUCUCAGUUCUGGAGGCUACAAGUUCUACAUCAACGUAGUAGAUUGUUCACCAGUGGCUGUCUUCUGGCUCUGUCCUCACAUAGCAGAAUGGGUACUGGGGAUUGAACUUGGGACCUUGCACUUGCGUGGCAGGCAGCAGAACCACUGAGCUAAAUCUCCAGCCCAAUGUAACCCAGGCUGGAUUGAACUUUCAACUAUCCUCUUGCUUCAGUCUCCCAAAUGCUGGGAUUACUGGUCUUUGACGGUACUGCCACAUUCCAUAAUCAUAUCUGCAAAAAAGACACAAGUAAAUGGAUCCUGUAUGGAUCUUCAGUUUCAUAUGCUUCUGACAGGUCUCAUCUGAAGUUUGCAAUGAUCUGGAUUGAGAUCUAAUGAUUACUGACUGUUAUCUGAUCACUGUAACAAGGCUACUGAG
ensembl:lncRNA